AGUGAACGCUGGCGGUAGGCCUAACACAUGCAAGUCGAACGGCAGCACAGUAAGAGCUUGCUCUUACGGGUGGCGAGUGUCGGACGGGUGAGGAAUACAUCGGAAUCUACUUUUUAGUGGGGGAUAACGUAGGGAAACUUACGCUAAUACCGCAUACGACCUACGGGUGAAAGCAUGAGCUCUUCGGACCUUGCGCGAUUGAAUGAGCCGAUGUCGGAUUAGCUAGUUGGCGGGGUAAAGGCCCACCAAGGCGACGCUCCGUAGCUGGUAUGAGAGGAUGAUCAGCCACACUGUAACUGAGACACGGUCCACACUCCUACGGGAGGCAGCAGUGGGGAAUAUUGGACAAUGGGCGCAAGCCUGAUCCAGCCAUACCGCGUGGGUGAAGAAGGCCUUCGGGUUGUAAAGCCCUUAUGUUGGGAAAGAAAAGCAGCAGGGUAAUACCCCGCUGUUCUGACGGUACCCAAAGAAUAAGCACCGGCUAACUUCGUG
rnacentral:rRNA from 1 species